rnacentral:rRNA from 1 species
AGCUCCAGUAGCGUAUAUUAAAGUUGUUGCAGUUAAAUAGCUCGUAGUUGAAUCUUGGCCCUGGUUUUGGUGGUCGCGCUUUAGGGCGUGUUACUGUCGGCCGGGGCUUUUACUUGCAGGGAACGUAUGUGCCUCUCGGGGUGUGUGCGGGAACUGUGGCUAUUACUUUGAAAAAAUUAGAGUGUUUAAAGCAGGCGUAAGCUUGUAUAUAUUAGCAUGGAAUAAUAGAAUAGGACUUUGGUUUUAUUUUGUUGGUUUCUAGGGCCGAAGUAAUGAUUAAUAGGGAUAGUUGGGGGAAUUAGUAUUUAAUAGUCAGAGGUGAAAUUCUUGGAUUUAUGAAAGACUAACUUCUGCGAAAGCAUUUGCCAAGGAUGUUUUCA